rnacentral:lncRNA from 1 species
ACCCUGGAGAAAGAAUCUUACAAAGAAUACUAAAGAGCAUCCAAGUGUGAAGAAUGAAACACACAGAUGAGCCCCAAGAGGAUGAGGAAGGGACAGGCUGGGGGGGUCUGAUUCUCAUCUCCACCUUAACAGAAUGCACAUGAAGUCCAGGCAUGGUGUAGCCAAGGAGACCCACUAAGACCCCAAAAUCUUGGAAAUGAGGAUGCAGGGGCAAAGGAUGGCAUUAUAGGCACCCUGACUCCAGCUUGGGAGUGGGGCGUCCAGGGACCCUCCACGAUCGAUGACAACAGACUGAGGGGCAGCUGCAAAACAACUGGAACAAAUCAAACCAAGGCCAAACGUUAACUGCCUCUGGCAACUUCUCCUCUUUCUUCGCCUCUCUCCCAGGCCCCAGAAAGGCUAAAGGUUCAGGUCAUAAAAUCCAAACUCCCAGACCCACAAAUCAUCAUUUCCAGCCUGAGGGAGACACCCAAUCCUGCCAAGGUCUUCAAGGACACACAUUAGUCAUCGGAUCGGCCCUGCCCAUCCCACCUCCAAGGCCCUUUCAUUUCCACACUCCUCAGAUUGUUCCAUGAGGGGUAGCCAAAUAAAAAGUCCAGGAGGUUCUAAGGGAGCCCUGUGUCUUACCUGGAAUUGUGUGUUACUGGCAACUAACUCCUGGGGACUGACCCAGAGGAGCUAAGGUUGUCUUUUAGCCCCCCAAUGCAGAGGCCAGAAGACCUCACACUUUUACCAGCCACAAGCCAGAAAUCCCUUCUGUGAGCCACGACCUGCACAUGUGUCCUGAAUGAGAUUUGUUCUCCCAGGAGAA